GGUUGACCUCGGAUCAGGUAGGAAUACCCGCUGAACUUAAGCAUAUCAAUAAGCGGAGGAAAAGAAACCAACAGGGAUUGCCUCAGUAACGGCGAGUGAAGCGGCAACAGCUCAAAUUUGAAAUCUGGCCUCGUGCCCGAGUUGUAAUUUGUAGAGGAUGCUUUCGGCGCGGCGCCUUCCGAGUUCCCUGGAACGGGACGCCACAGAGGGUGAGAGCCCCGUAUGGUCGGAUGCCAAGCCAUUGUAAAGCUCCUUCGACGAGUCGAGUAGUUUGGGAAUGCUGCUCAAAAUGGGAGGUAAAUUUCUUCUAAAGCUAAAUACCGGCCAGAGACCGAUAGCGAAAAAGUAGAGUGAUCGAAAGAUGAAAAGCACUUUGAAAAGAGGGUUAAACAGCACGUGAAAUUGUUGAAAGGGAAGCGCUUGUGACCAGACCUGCGCCCUGGGGAUCAUCCGGCGUUCUCGCCGGUGCACUCCGCUGGGCUGCAGGCCAGCAUCGGUUCUCCCAGGGGGACAAAAGCUUCGGGAACGUAGCUCCUUAGGGAGUGUUAUAGCUCGUUGCACAAUACCCUUGGGGGGACCGAGGUACGCGCUCCGCAAGGAUGCUGGCGUAAUGGUCAUCAGCGACCCGUCUUGAAACACGGACCAAGGAGUCAAGCAUUAGGGCGAGUGUUUGGGUGCAAAACCCGCACGCGAAAUGAAAGUGAACGUAGGUGAGAGCUUCGGCGCAUCAUCGACCGAUCCUGAUGUUCUCGGAUGGAUUUGAGUAAGAGCCUUACCGCUUGGACCCGAAAGAUGGUGAACUAUGCCUGUAUAGGGUGAAGCCAGAGGAAACUCUGGUGGAGGCUCGCAGCGGUUCUGACGUGCAAAUCGAUCGUCAAAUAUGGGCAUGGGGGCGAAAGACUAAUCGAACUAUCUAGUAGCUGGUUACCGCCGAAGUUUCCCUCAGGAUAGCAGUGUUGUUUUCAGUUUUAUGAGGUAAAGCGAAUGAUUAGGGACUCGGGGGCGCUAUUUUGCCUUCAUCCAUUCUCAAACUUUAAAUAUGUAAGAAGCCCUUGUUACUUUGUUGAACGUGGGCCUUCGAAUGCAGCAACACUAGUGGGCCAUUUUUGGUAAGCAGAACUGGCGAUGCGGGAUGAACCGAACGCGGGGUUAAGGUGCCAGAGUGGACGCUCAUCAGACACCACAAAAGGCGUUAAUACAUCUUGACAGCAGGACGGUGGCCAUGGAAGUCGGAAUCCGCUAAGGACUGUGUAACAACUCACCUGCCGAAUGUAUUAGCCCUGAAAAUGGAUGGCGCUCAAGCGUCCCACCCAUACCCCGCCCUCAGGGUAGAAACGAUGCCCUGAGGAGUAGGCGGCCGCGGGGGCGGUGACGAAGCCCAGGGCGUGAGCCCGGGUCGAACCGCCCCUGGUGCAGAUCUUGGUGGUAGUAGCAAAUACUUCAAUGAGAACUUGAAGGACCGAAGUGGGGAAAGGUUCCAUGUGAACAGCGGUUGGACGUGGGUUAGCCGAUCCUAAGCCAUAGGGAAGUUCCGUUUCAAAGGGGCACUCGUGCCCCGCAUGGCGAAAGGGAAGCAGGUCAAUAUUCCUGCGCCUGGAUGCGGGUUUUUCGCGGCAACGCAACCGAACGCGGAGACGGCGGCGGGGGCCCCGGGCAGAGUUCUCUUUUCUUCUUAACGGUCUACCACCCUGAAAACAGUUUGUCUGGAGAUAGGGUCCCAUGGCCGGAAGAGCCCAGCACCUCUGCUGGGUCCGGUGCGCCCCCGACGUCCCUUGAAAAUCCGCGGGAGGGAAUAAUUCUCGCGCCAGGUCGUACUCAUAACCGCAGCAGGC
rnacentral:rRNA from 1 species